GAAGAGAGAUUUUAUAUUCAUUCUAUCAAAUUUAGGAAAUAAUUUAUUCCCAUAUGUUUCAUGAUACGCAAUUAAUAAAAAAAAUCUCAAAACCAAAUCUUCCAAUCUUAACCAUCUCAUUCUUCGAUCACACCAAAUCUUGAACAACCACCAUUCAUCAUCAUAACCUUAAACUCAUCAAAGUUGAUCAUACCAUCCCCAUCUCGAUCAACACCCGCGAUCAUCUUCCUACACUCUUCGACGCUACACUCUUCCCCCAAACUCCCCAACACAUUACACAACUCAUCCGCGGUAAUCAACCCGUUGUUAUCGACAUCAAAAACAGAAAACGCGUCUUUCAAAGUCUCCAACAACUCAACGGAUCCAAUAUCUUUGGUAUUCAACUCGAUGAACUCUUUCAAACCGAUAAACCCGUCUCCAUCAAGUUCAUUUAUUAUUAUUUGUAACUCAUUUUCUGUUGGCUCGUGACCUAGGCUUCUCAUCAUUGAUCCAAGUUCGGAUGACGAGAUCUUGCCGUCGCCGUUAACAUCGAAUUUGUUGAAUACUUGUUCUAGCUCUUCUUCGAUCCGCAUACGCACCACACGUGAAACGACGACGUUUUGGGGGGUGUUUUUUGAGUUUUUCUUUGUUUUUCGGUUGAAUAGAUUCUUUAAACCCAUGAUGGAUUAAAGAAGGAUGGUUGGGGUGUGUUUUAGGGGGGCGUAAUUGGUGUAUUUGUAUAGGAUUCACGGGAGUUUUGUGUGUAGCGCACGUCCAUAUAAUUAGGAAACUCAAACCGACUCAAUAUGUAUGAUAUAUAGCUAAUUUUCCAUGUAUUUUGGAACAUUUAUGUGGGGUUGGGGAUAAAUAGUAUUAAAUUCUUUUAAUACCCUUUUUAAUUUUAAUAUAUAUGUCCUUAUUUUUUACCAGUAAUUUCACGGUCGUGUUUACAGACGGGUGGGUUACCGGAUUUUCCCCCUAAUUGGUGGUGGUUGUUGUGUCCCGUAAAAAUGAUAUAA
rnacentral:lncRNA from 1 species